UGAGGAAUAUUGGACAAUGGGCGCAAGCCUGAUCCAGCCAUGCCGCGUGCAGGAAGAAGCAUCUAUGGUGUGUAAACUGCUUUUGUACGGGAAGAAACACUCCUACGUGUAGGAGCUUGACGGUCCGUAAGAAUAAGGAUCGGCUAACUCCGUGCCAGCAGCCGCGGUAAUACGGAGGAUCCAAGCGUUAUCCGGAAUCAUUGGGUUUAAAGGGUCCGUAGGCGGUUUAAUAAGUCAGUGGUGAAAGCCCAUCGCUCAACGAUGGAACGGCCAUUGAUACUGUUAGACUUGAAUUACAAGGAAGUAACUAGAAUAUGUAGUGCAGCGGUGAAAUGCUUAGAUAUUACAUGGAAUACCAAUUGCGAAGGCAGGUUACUACUUGUGGAUUGACGCUGAUGGACGAAAGCGUGGGGAGCGAACA
rnacentral:rRNA from 1 species